rnacentral:miRNA from 2 species
UUUUUCCUACUCCGCCCAUACC